ensembl:snRNA U6 U6 spliceosomal RNA
AUGCUCACUUCAGCAGCACAUAUACUAAAAGUGGGAUGAUACAGAAAAGAUUAGCAGGGCCCCUUGCACACAAGGAUGACACGCAAAUUCGUGAAGCGUUCCGUAUUUUU